GAUGAACGCUGGCGGCGUGCCUAAUACAUGCAAGUCGAGCGAACAGACGAGGAGCUUGCUCCUCUGACGUUAGCGGCGGACGGGUGAGUAACACGUGGAUAACCUACCUAUAAGACUGGGAUAACUUCGGGAAACCGGAGCUAAUACCGGAUAAUAUAUUGUACCGCAUGGUUCAAUAGUGAAAGACGGUUUUGCUGUCACUUAUAGAUGGAUCCGCGCCGCAUUAGCUAGUUGGUAAGGUAACGGCUUACCAAGGCAACGAUGCGUAGCCGACCUGAGAGGGUGAUCGGCCACACUGGAACUGAGACACGGUCCAGACUCCUACGGGAGGCAGCAGUAGGGAAUCUUCCGCAAUGGGCGAAAGCCUGACGGAGCAACGCCGCGUGAGUGAUGAAGGUCUUCGGAUCGUAAAACUCUGUUAUUAGGUAAGAACAAAUGUGUAAGUAACUAUGCACGUCUUGACGGUAACUAAUCAGAAAGCCACGGCUAACUACGUG
rnacentral:rRNA from 1 species